GUACACUCCUACGGGAGGCAGCAGUGGGGAAUUUUGGACAAUGGGCGAAAGCCUGAUCCAGCAAUGCCGCGUGUGUGAAGAAGGCCUUCGGGUUGUAAAGCACUUUUGUCCGGAAAGAAAUCCUUGGCUCUAAUACAGUCGGGGGAUGACGGUACCGGAAGAAUAAGCACCGGCUAACUACGUGCCAGCAGCCGCGGUAAUACGUAGGGUGCGAGCGUUAAUCGGAAUUACUGGGCGUAAAGCGUGCGCAGGCGGUUUGCUAAGACCGAUGUGAAAUCCCCGGGCUCAACCUGGGAACUGCAUUGGUGACUGGCAGGCUAGAGUAUGGCAGAGGGGGGUAGAAUUCCACGUGUAGCAGUGAAAUGCGUAGAGAUGUGGAGGAAUACCGAUGGCGAAGGCAGCCCCCUGGGCCAAUACUGACGCUCAUGCACGAAAGCGUGGGGAGCAAACAGGAUUAGAAACCCGUGUAGUCCCA
rnacentral:rRNA from 1 species